GGAUAUGGGUCAAUGGUAGAACACUUGCUUAGAGAGCAUGAGGCCUGGGUUUGAUCCCCAGCAUAUUUU
rnacentral:tRNA from 1 species